rnacentral:rRNA from 1 species
UACGAAGGGGGCGAGCGUUAUUCGGAAUCACUGGGCGUAAAGCGUGCGUAGGCUGUUUGGCAAGUUGGAAGUGAAAGCCCAGGGCUCAACCCUGGAAUUGCUUUCAAAACUGCCAGACUCGAGUCCGGGAGAGGAUAGCGGAAUUUCCAGUGUAGUAGUGAAAUACGUAGAUAUUGGAAGGAACACCAGUGGCGCAAGCGGCGAUCUGGACCGGUACUGACGCUGAGGCACGAAAGCGUGGGGAGCAAACAGG